CGGAUACUAACUUAACUCUGCUUCACCUGCUCCCGUCCCUAAGACUUUGAUUCUGAUUUAUCCAACCCGCCAACUAAACUCAAAAUAAGGAAUCCAACUAUGAUUAACAAAAAUGAAACAAAGAAGCUAGCCCUCCGCUCCGUGCUUGCACUCUGUAUCACGGACACUGAUCCUAGCUUGAAACCUAUAACUGCUGGUAACAAGACCCGAAAUGUAUCCACCUACUAAGAGAUUCAAAUCACUACCGAAAAGAAUAGAAACCCGGCGUAUGGGACUAGCACCACUUCUAGUCUUCUAAUACUAAAACAACAAAUAGGGAAUUCACCUACAACUAACAAGGCUCGAACCACUUGCCUAGAGCCUGUGCGACGACUAACUGGCUCUUAAACCGAUGUUACUCACUUUUUUAUUGAACUGCAUUCUCUAGCUAACGAUCCCUUUAUUACAUCUUAGCUU
rnacentral:lncRNA from 1 species